UCCCCACUGGUCCAGUGAUCAGGACUCUGCAUUUUCACUGCUGAGGGCCCCAGGUUCAAUCCCUGGGUGGGGAA